CAGUUAUUCAGGAAUUACUCUUGGUUAUUACCAAUCGAUAUUGUCAGUAAAGUUUGUAGAGCAUUGAUGAUUAAAUGAGCAUUUAACUUUCUUUCUUAGCUAUUACAGAGCUCACCAUUCAAGUCACAUGCCAACUUUAUGCAGUUACAUAUUAAUGCUUACAUUCAGUGAAGCAGUUAAACACAUGAUCAUCUUAGCUCCACAACCAAUUGCUGAUGUGCAGUAUCAGUCCCCUCGACAACCUAUUCCCUCAGCAGCAGGACUGAGGAAGGUUCCCAUGGUCCACGUGCCCGCACGGGGGGAGUAUUUUAUAGGGCCAAUUUUGUCCAGUUAAAGCCAUCAGCACUUUCAGAUCACUGACCAAGAUUGCCCUGAUCCUUCCAGCUGACCUCUACUGAGCACUCACAAUCAGAUGAGUGUUUUUUGCAGGAGAUUGAACAAGGAAGAGCUUUGCUGGGUGGAAGCUCUCUGGCUGCUGCUACAAAGUUUCAUGAUUUUUACUCACCAUGUAAGAUCUAGUGAUACCUGAGCUGUGUCACCUUCUACUGACAAAGAUGUCAAUAGAAGUCAUUUACCUGAGGAAAUCUCUCUCCCUCUGGAUCCUCGCCACCUGUGUGCUUGCCAGGCUCUUCCGGCUGGUCACUGCAGAACUGGCAAACUGAAAGAAAGACUUGUACAGUUAUCCUCCAUGCCCCUUUCCUUGCCUGUAAGGACUCUGUUGGUAGUGCUGAGGAAUCCUCUCCAUACCCUGCUGUUCCCAAAGGGCUGCUCAGGAGCUGUGGUCCUUGCAGGGGCUUGCGGAACUUCUUGUCAUCGUCUUCCAUAGAGAAGAGGAUGUUUGGUUGCUUGUACUCUACUAGAAACACCUUUGUUACAACAGCACUCUCCCUGCAGUCCCUGAAAGUCAAUGAUCACAAAGCUAUAAACGUGCCAUAAGACCAUGUGCAGUGAAAAGGAAACCACUGGUGAACACGGUUGAUCUUCUGAAACAUCUCUUCUAAGUUUGCAAGUCAUUACUUCAGUUAGUAAGCACAAUCCUGGGCAACACUCUCAAAAACGUCUGCUUUGUUUUGA